AAUAACUAAUUGAACAGAUUGCGACUAAUUUUCGAGACAAAUUUUUUAGACCUAAUUGCCCUAUGAUUUAGUAGUGCUGCAGUAAAUAUUUGCUAAUGACGAGAUUAAUUAGGCUUAAUAAAUUCGUCUCGCGGUUUAAUGUUGGAUUCUGUAAGUUUUUUUUAUUAGUA
rnacentral:misc_RNA from 1 species